rnacentral:rRNA from 1 species
GAUGAACGCUAGCUACAGGCUUAACACAUGCAAGUCGAGGGGUAACGAGAGGAAAGCUUGCUUUCCUUGUCGACGACCGGCGCACGGGUGAGUAACGCGUAUCCAACCUGCCCCCAACUAGGGAAUAACCUUGCGAAAGUAAGACUAAUACCCUAUAAUUUCCUAAGAUGUCAUCUGACGAGGAAUAAAGAUUUAUCGGUUGUGGAUGGGGAUGCGUCUGAUUAGCUUGUUGGCGGGGUAACGGCCCACCAAGGCAACGAUCAGUAGGGGUUUUGAGAGGAAGGUCCCCCACAUUGGAACUGAGACACGCUCCAAACUCCUACGGGAGGCAGCAUUGAGGAAUAUUGGUCAAUGGGCGGAAGCCUGAACCAGCCAAGUAGCGUGCAGGAUGACGGCCCUAUGGGUUGUAAACUGCUUUUAUACAGGAAUAAAGUUAGCCACGUGUGGUUAUUUGUAGGUACUGUAUGAAUAAGGACCGGCUAAUUCCGUGCCAGCAGCCGCCGUAA